UACGUAGGAUGCAAGCGUUGUCCGGAAUUAUUGGGCGUAAAGAGCGCGCAGGCGGUAUGACAAGUCAGAUGUGAAAGAGGCCGGCUUAACCGGCAAGGGUCAUUUGAAACUGUCAGACUAGAGUGCAGCAGAGGAUAGUGGAAUUCCCGGUGUAGUGGUGAAAUGCGUAGAUAUCGGGAGGAACACCAGUGACGAAGGCGGCUCACUGGCCCGAUACUGACGCUGAGGCACGGAAAGCGUGGGGAGCAAACAGG
rnacentral:rRNA from 1 species